UACGAAGGGGGGCUAGCGUUGCUCGGAAUCACUGGGCGUAAAGGGUGCGUAGGCGGGUCUUUUAAGUCAGGGGUGAAAUCCCGGGGCUCAACCUCGGAACUGCCUUUGAUACUGCAAAUCUCGAGUCCGGAAGAGGUGAGUGGAAUUCCUAGUGUAGAGGUGAAAUUCGUAGAUAUUAGGAAGAACACCAGUGGCGAAGGCGGCUCACUGGUCCGGUACUGACGCUGAGGUGCGAAAGCGUGGGGAGCAAACAGG
rnacentral:rRNA from 1 species